CAAGGUUUCACCCAGCUCAUAACAGUACAAAUAGUGCCUCAGAUCUGAGAGCUCUGUUCCGUCUGUACGAAAUCACUGCUGCGAUUCUGAGUGAUGGCUCAUCUCUUCUUUUAAAAACACAACUGAAAUAUGUAUAUUUUGGGGAAAUCACGACAUGCUCUCUUUUAUACUCUGCUGAGACUCCAUCCUGAAUGCGUGUGAGACUCAACAUGCAGAUCUGGAUCCGACCUUCACUCAUACGAUAUUUGGGUCCUGACUUUUGUUUCAGCUCAUUACACAGUAAGCAUUUGGAAGAAUUCUGGACAAUGAGCAUUGACAGUCUGUCCAAUUGACGAAGAAGGCCAGCAGCUCAUGUUAUCCCACAUUCCAGCACAUCUGCCUAUGUUGUAAGAACAGAAGCAUCAUUGACCAUAUUCCCUGGACAGUCACAUCUUCAGAGAAUAAAAACAUUCAGUACUGUAUUCUUAAAAGCAAGUCUGAAGCGCUUUAAGGGGGCUUUAAUGCUUCUAUUGAAGACAAUGAUGUCUUCAUCCCCUAGCUACAGGUAGUUCCCUUAACUCCUUUGGACUGCUUGCUUCGUCAGGAUGAGGAAGAGCUGGGGCCUGAUUGAAAAACAGAGGGAAGUCAAUGGAAGUCUUUCCAUUGAUUUCAAUGGGUUUUAGAUCACGCUCUUGGCCCAUGCUCCUUUAUCACAAUAACGGUUUAAUGAAUUUUUUGGGUCACCUCAGCCUUUCUAAAACUGCCCUGUGGAAAGCAUCUAGUCUUUUACGUACAAACCACAAUUCAUUUGUAUAAAUACACAAAUGCACACCUUGACUAAUAUGUUAAGCAGCUACAAAAUUAUAUUACAGAAAAAGCCAGAAGAUACUGCAUUGAUGUCAGAUUUGUACAAAUGUAAAUGCUGAUUACCAUUUCAACACCUCAUUCAUUACAGCUGAAAUUGUGUUAGAGUGAAUAAUGUUAAUGUACAGCAUUCUGGGCUCAGCUGUGGUUCUCGAUUGCUUUCCUGCUGUAAGAGAUCAAAACUUAAUUUAGCUAUUCUAGAAAAGCAAUUACUGUGAUUAUAAAGUAAACGAAUUACACCGGCUAGUCACAAGUUAGGGGGAAAGAAAGAUCAUUAUUCCCUCCCAACUACUAGUCAAAUCUGACAGAGGGCUGACUAACGACAUUAUUUCUUGCACAAGCCAUGCCUUUGAGACUGUACUGUUUGAACCUACUUUCCCACCAAUUAUUUCAAUUUGAGGCCCGACCUUUAUUGAUUAGAGAUCCCACUUGCAAUGUAUUUAGUGAUGUAACUGUUGUGACUUUUUCUCUGUACUGCAUCUUUAACUCACUAAGGUUUCUGCUCUCUGCAAUGACUGGCAGACAUUCUGAGUGCAGACUGUUAGCAGAGAAGAACACACCCCACACUCUUUGUGCUCUCUCUCUCUCGCACACACACUUACUUUUGUUCUUUCUU